AGAGUAAUGUCCUGCGAGCAGAAGAUGCACUUGAGGAUACUUCAGUCCUGGCAGCCAAAGGUUUCACCAAUAUUGCUUCACUGAGGACAGAAAAUUCGGCAGUAGCUGACUUACAGGGUUCCCAAAAGACUAUUUUAUUCCAAAUCUAAAGGUGUAAGAACUUUCACUUUUAAACCACGGUGCCAGGUAGUCGGAGUGAAAGAUGUUAUAAACACAGCAUUUACUUAUCUGGAUUCCUUGGAUUUCUCUGUCGCUGUUUAUAAUGGGAUAAUCUGGUGCUCAAAAAAAUGUAAAAAAGUCUUUGCAGAAAGCAGUAGAAAGACAUUUCAUGUUCCUUUUUACUGAUUACUUUUGCUUGAUGCUAGGAAACAAUUAUUUUAAGUGGAUUACUUCCAAAGAAUAACUUAAUUUGAUAAUAAAACAAAUACUACUUUCCCAUUUAUUGAUGAAUCAAGCAAGGUAAUUGGAUUUAUUACUUCUGAAUCUAUGAGUAAUCCUGUUUCCAAAUCACAUAUGUGUUUCCUCCUCUGCUUUUAUGUUCAUCAGGAGAUGACACUUAUUUAUUCCUUUUUCUUGUUGGCAGAAAUUCACUUUUUUGAAUCAGGACAGCAAUGGUCUUAUGCACUGCUUCUGAGCUCAAAAUAGAGCUAAUUUAUACUUAUGCAGUAUACAUCCUUGCUGGAGAAAAAUGAGCUUCAGUCAUUCUGAGUAGCUAAAAAUACAAGUUAAUUAAAAACAUAUCUCGCAUUAAUAUCUAUAAUAUGCAUGGUAACAGUGAAGUAGAUAUUACGAUGUUAUGAUGUUGCUUCACAGAAGGCCUGGAAGCUGAGAGGGCUCUGGAAUGUAUAUCCCAGCCUGGGUACAAGGAGGGACCAUGGAGAAUGACUGCUGCUUCUCGAAGGGACUUCCCAGCGCUGAACUGCAGAGCUCCAGGCCACCGGGUGACGCAACCUGUCUCUCCCCUUUGGUGGCAGCCAUCACAGCCAAGUUCAACGGCCAAGUGACACAGCCAGGUACUGGCAGGAAUAAAGUUGGGAGUGGGAUCAUUUCCCACUCCUCCUGAUCCAUCUGCUGUUUAAACGAUGGUUUAUGUAUCUAUGAGCAGCUUU
rnacentral:lncRNA from 1 species